rnacentral:sRNA from 2 species
CUGCUUAAUGCGCUGAAUCCGAUAAGGAACGGGGGACCCAUUUACACAGGGGUGAAUCUCUAUUGAGUAGGGUUACUCUUUCGACCCGAACCCGGCAGCUAACCUCGUAAGCGUUGAAAGGGAGGCGUG